rnacentral:rRNA from 1 species
GACGAACGCUGGCGGCGUGCUUAACACAUGCAAGUCGAACGGAAAGGCCCUGCUUUUGUGGGGUGCUCGAGUGGCGAACGGGUGAGUAACACGUGAGUAACAUGCCCUUGACUUUGGGAUAACUUCAGGAAACUGGGGCUAAUACCGGAUAGGAGCUCCUGCUGCAUGGUGGGGGUUGGAAAGGUUCGGCGGUUGGGGAUGGACUCGCGGCUUAUCAGCUUGUGGGUGGGGUAGUGGCUUACCAAGGCUUUGACGGGUAGCCGGCCUGGGAGGGUGACCGGCCACAUUGGGACUGAGAUACGGCCCAGACUCCUACGGGAGGCAGCAGUGGGGAAUAUUGCACAAUGGGCGGAAGCCUGAUGCAGCAACGCCGCGUGCGGGAUGACGGCCUUCGGGUUGUAAACCGCUUUCGCCUGUGACGAAGCGUGAGUGACGGUAAUGGGUAAAGAAGCACCGGCUAACUACGUG